AAACUAUUUGUAUUUAUGACUUUUCUGGCAUGGUCAUCCUGACAAUGGUAGUCAUCUCAAAUAUAAAAACAAAUAGUUAAAAUCACAAUUUCUAGUAAGGUGAAAUUGCUCUCGAGCCUUGAUAUAGAUGAGAAGUGAAAUAGUUAUUGCUACUAGUAAAUAUGUUCACAAUAUAAUAAUGUUACCAUAAAUAGAUACAUGGUUUCAAAGACGGUUAUGAAGUUUGAAAACACUAUUCAUGUAGACCAUAUCAACAGAAUUUAUGUAGUAAGCACAUUAUCGUAUAGUGUUUUUCAACCUACUAUGUAUUACAUUUGUGCUGACUAUACAAAUUGUCAAUGAACGGGUGUACUGUUAUUGUCACAUAAAGUUACAAUUUAGCAAAAAAUUCCGUACAUGGGUAACACAUCAGUGAUGGAUUUGAACAAAAUAUUCUAUAUUGUGACUGUGUACUUUGGUAGGUCUUGCAGUGAAAUCAACAUCUCGUAUACGGUUUAUUAUUCAUUAUCGGUCGCUGUAGAAACAACAUCAAGCGAUUGAUGAAAAGGAAGAUUAUCAUUGGAUUCCCGGAUUCAAUUCGCUCGAAUCCGACGGAAAAUCGCAGGAAAAACUCCAUCGGACAGAGCCUUGGAUCAACUGAUGCUAAGCAAUAUUUCACCAGGUAUAUUAUCAUUUGAUUUGAUGCGAAAAUAAAAUAGAGUUUAAUGAAAUUAUUUUGUUGUUCUUAUUUUAGAAUUUAAAUUCAUAAAACUUUUCAACAUUAGCUCAUGUUUUGCUGAUCUUCAGCAUUGUUGAAUCAAACACUGCUUUUAGUUUCAAAAUAACUAGAAGUGAAAUGUCAAAAAUACCAUGACUCUGGUUAUAGCAAAAACUACAAUGUAAAAAAAAUAUUCGGUCAUGGUUAGGCUAACCAUCUCAAUCGUAUUAGUUAUUCAUACAAUACACUGUUCAAUAUUACUAUUCUAGAGCCGAUACCAUUCAUAGUAAACAUGAACUUGACUAUUGUUGAAAUCAUCUGAUUUCAUAGUCGGCUGAAAACCACUAUACGCUCAUGGUCAAGUUGGCCCUCUAUAUAGUAACAGUUACCAUACUAUUUUUC